GGCGGCCCCGCCGCGUAGCACAGUGCCGAGGCCCGCGCGCAGCCGCGCAGGGCGGCUCCGGCUCCGGCUCCGGCGCGGCGCAGACCCCUCCCCCGGCCGGUGCGGCGCCGCGGAAGUGCGGCAGCGCCGCGGCGGGUGUUGCAGUCGCGCGGCCCUGGGCGGCCUGCGGGGGCCAUGGUGCAGCUUUACAACCUGCACCCUUUCGGGUCGCAGCAAGUGGUGCCCUGCAAGCAGGAGCCAGCGCACUUCUGCUGCGGCCAAGACGAGCUCUUCGUGGCCUGCGCGGCGGCCAGCUGCAGGGUGGAGGUGUUCGCGGUGCGCGACCAGGGCCGCUGCGAAUCCCUGGGCUCCUUCGCCACGCUGGGCCCUGUGCUGCGCAUGGCGCACAGCCGCGCAGGAGACUAUGUGGUAACAAUUGAAGAGAAAAACAAAGCGACUUUCCUAAGGGCGUAUACGAACUGGAGAUGCAUGUCAGCUGGGAGCUCUCGUGUGUGUGUCCGGAUGGUGGGUCACAAGAUGGAAGAGUCAUACAGUGAAACCUUAAAAGAACAGAUGUCAAUUGUGGAAAUGCCACUUUCAGAUCCUCCACUGUGCAUUUCAUGUUGUCCUGUAAAUGGAAAUCUUCUUGUGGGCUGCAAAAAUAAACUAGUUAUAUUCUCUUUGAAAUAUCUGGUCAUAAACCAGAAUUUGACUGUGUUGGACUUUGAACGCUCCUUGAUUUUACACAUCGAUAACGUAAGUCCUGCUGAAGUUGCGUUUUGUGCCAGACAUAUAGCCGUAACAACAGAGCUGGAUGUUCUGAUCCUGAAACUGGAACUGGUCCAACGAGGUGCAGACAACACAGGGCAGUGUGCGCACAGCACUAGUACACUAGAAGAGCCUGGGGAUAGAGGUAUAAAAGAUGAAGGCCCUUCAACACAUACUCUGCAGCUUGAUUCAGAUGAGUUUGUCAUUUGUCAGAAGCCAGUGGAACUGCUUGGGGAAGAAAGUAAGCUAUGUGAGAUACCUGUCACACUGGAAUCAACAGGAUUAGCUACAGAAGGUACAGAGCACUUCCAAGUGCAGUAUCUGCUUUUCAGACGUUUUACACCUGACCAGUCGCCUUUUGGCUUUUGUGAAGAGACGAAGUUGCACUCUCUUCAGCUGCUUCCUAUAUACCAGACAGGAAGUUCUGUGACAGCCCAUGGAGAAACUGAGAACAAGAGAGAACUAUUGAGUCUCUUUUGCUUUUUCUCUUUACCUCAUGUUGGAUAUCUCUACUCUAUUGGGAAGUUAGUAGAACUGAUCUCUACUUACCAAUAUUCAGAGAAGUCAGAGCAGGCAGUUCUCACUCCACAAUUCCUGCAUGUCAUUACAAGUGAGAACCUACAGUGUUUCACAGUGCGGUGCAGUGCAGCAGCAGCUCGUGAUGAGGAUCCGUACAUAGAUACGACUGUGAAGGCUUGUCCACCUGUGUCGCUGGAUGUCUGCACAUUGAGAAUGCAGCUUUUCAUAGGCCCAAGAGCUAUCUGUCAUUUCAAAAACCAUGUCAUCCUUCUGAUUAAGGCCGACACAGAAGAUAUUACUGAAAGAAGAAAACCUACCAGAAGGAUACUUUCCAGAAAGGCCGACAGCAUCAAAUCCAGAAAAACUCCUGAUUCAGAAUCUGGCUGGAAUUUAUAUAUUGUAAACACUGUUUCAACUGUCCAGCUUUACAGAGAAAUGGUGGAUUAUAGUAGAACAUAUGAAAAUGUAAAAACUGAGAGUUGCAUCCAUCUUCUAAGUGAAGCUCACUUGUUAGUCAGAGCAGCUAUAAUGGACCCCAGUUUCCUUAAAUCAGAUGAAAAAGAAGAACUUCUAACAGCAUUUAGAGAAAGUUGUGCUUUCCUAGGAGACUGCUACAGCAGGUUUGACACAAAGGAUUACCACCUUGCUUUGCCUUACUACAGAAUGUCUGGUUUAUCCAUGACGGAAGUUUUAGAGAGGCUAGUUUCAGAAGGUGAUGAAACACACAAAUAUGAGAGAGGAUUUAUAUUUUACUUAACUCACUUUCUUAAUGAAGACUUAAAUGAAGAAUUAAGUCAGGAAUCGGCAACUAAAGUUCUCCAAAUAUUCUAUCUUACUGAACCUGUCCAGCUGCCACAUAUCCUCUGCAGUCCCUGCAUGAGGAAUGUAUGUCCUUUGACAGCCAUGAAUUAUCUUCAGAAGAUAGAAAAGAUUAUGCCAUCAGUGGUCCUGACACUUACUAAGGCUUCCCUGGCUCUGAAAAUGGGAGACCUGAUGAUGUAUAAACAUGAGAUGGACUCCUAUAAGGAGACAGUACUGGUGUGUGGCUUCAUUGGGCAGCCAAAACUCUUGAGACAGCAUAAGGAAGGAAUUGUUAUUCCGACUGAAUUUGCUAUUCAUCUGAAGGAGACGCAACCUGGGUUACUGGUGGCCGCCACUGUGGCUUUAUAUGAGAACAGGAAAAUUGAACUGGAAGAAACGGAUACCUUUUUCAAGACAGUGUGUAACAACAGUGAAAACACUAUCCCUCAGCUCUUAGUAGAUUUUUGGGAAGCUCUUCUUGUAGUAUGCUCUCAGGAAGAAGUACUUCAGGAACUCUUAUUGAGGGUUACUUCUCAGUAUGUUUGGAGAAUAUCAAAGAGGCAAUUUCCUGACACCAAACCACUGAAAACAACAGAGGAUCUGAUAAAUUCCUGUAAUCAUUUUGGGUUGAUUUUCCCCUGGGUAACUUUCAUAAUGUCAGCGGGAUCUCCAUCUGAUAAAAGUUAUCCUGAAGAUAUCUCAAAACUACAGUCUAUUUUAUGUAGUCAGUCAAUCAAUGUAACUUCAGCUCUGCCUUUCUUGGAGCCUCUGUCAGAGGACGGCAAUGUUGGCCUCACCAUCCAUGUUCUCUGCAGUACGCGUCUCGGAAAGUAUGAGGAUUCCCUUGACCUGCUUCUGAAAAAGUGUCCUGAUGCAGUUGUAUUAUAUGCUCAGCAUGAACUGAAAGAUGACAAUCGGGCUAUGUGGUGGAACAAGCUGCUUCCUGAACUUUGCAAGAGAACCAAACUUACUGGAAAUUACUGUCCUGUUCAUAUUUCAUCACUGAAAGAAACUUUAUCUGUUGUUGCAAUGGAUCUGGAACUAAGGGAUUUCCUCAAUGUUCUACCAGAGGAUGGAACCGCAGCAUUUUUCCUGCCACAUCUUCUUCACUGCAGCCAAAGGAAACCGUUGACCUGUAGCCAGUGAAAGUCGUCUACGCACUCAAAUACCAAGGAUGCGCUGGAAUAAAAAAGUAAAUGAAACAGUAGAACUCCACAGAGAGUAUUGUGGGACUCACCCUACACAUUAGCCACCCUGUGUCUGAGUUGAAACCUUAUUAUGGAAUGACAACUACUGUCUCAGGCAGAGCAUCUCUCUUGAAGAUGACAGAAAACAGUACUGUUGCACAUUGACAGAAGUCAGCUAUCCAGAAGAAUUCCUGUCAGCCUAAACAAAAAUGCACCGAAUAGUACUGGACUGUCUAUGGAUAGCUGAGUAGGAACAACCCAAUCUAGUGCUUCUCUAGGACCCUCAUUUCACACAUCCGUGUGCUAAAACUAGCAACUAAACGGAAAUGAAGAAGGAAAAAAAAAAAAGUUGUUCUCUUACCACAGCCAUGAAAAUUCACAGCGAACUUGUCAGAGCAACUUGUUAAGUUUCCGUACAAUAAACCCUGGCAGAUAAUUAUCUGACUCUCUUGUGUAUUGAUCAAAUACAAAAUACCAUAAGGUCGAAUUAAAAAACUGCUACUUAAUAUUUUAACAUCUGACUUUUCACAAGAGGUUACACUCCUUGGUAUUUGGUCCAACUCUCAACAUAGCAGAAAAAAAAAAGGAUGGAAAGGGCCUGUUACCUUAUAAUCAAAGCUGUGGCCAUGGAAGUGUGCUGUGUGAAUAUCUACUUCGUUGCCCAUUCCCAUCAAAUACCAGCUUACUUUAUCCCCAACAUGCAUAGUCAGACCAUGUAAGUUCCCAAACACCUUUCCAUUAAUGGCUAGAGAGAGAGAGAGAACAAACUAGAAUAAGAUUUUUGUGUCAUAUUAUUCUCUAGGCUUUAAUAGAAUGCAAGAAUUUAAAGCUACUACUAGGCAAAAGGAAUUGCUUUGAAUGAGCUAUUAAAAAAAAAAAGAAAGAAAAACCUAUAUUGAAAUAGUAUAUUAUCUCCUUACCAAAAAAAAAAAAAAGCAUAUUAUGAAUAGGUCUGAUUAUAUCUUGCAUAUUUGACUAGAAAGUAAGUAGUUAAAAGUCCUUUACCAUGCAUCAUUGCUAACACCAGUGCUGUUCUCAAGCAUCUGCAUUACCCAUGGCUCUUUGUGAAGGCUAAGCUUUACCAGAAUGUGCUUUCAGGAUAGAUACUGUAUUGCCAACUUUUCCAGAAUAGUUGUUUGCUAACAUCAAAUCAAAUUUUCAAAUUUCAUUUUUACUCUCUUAUCACAGUUGCAAAGUGGAACCAUUUUUUUUUUUUUUAAGAGAGAUCAACAAUAUUCUGAAAUAGCAUGAGGGAAAUUUUUCAGGCCUUUUACCCUGUAACUAGAAAUUCACAGAGGAUGAGAAAGUCAAAUUUAUAUACAGUGCUUUGAAAUACAUAAUUUUAUAGAGUGUUUUUGUUCUUGUUUUUUGGGUUUUUUUCAAGAAUAACAUUAAUUAGAGAAACGUACCAUGCAUUUUAUUACUUUCAAGGAAUUCCUCAUCCUCUUUGUCAACAAGGUGUGGGUUGGUAGAGUAGGUUUUAAUGUUUUCAUCCAAGUACCAUGACUCAUUCUCAUCGAAAACCAUAAAAAGAAGAGCAAAUUGAACUUUCUCUUUAGCAUGAAAUGAUGGCAAAUAAUGUCUAUGACACACAACAAGUGUGCCUAUUAAUCCACUGUAAGUGUCCUGAAAUUACAAAUGAAAAAAAAUCAAAAAAAUUACAUGACGAAUACAAGCAGAAGCAUUUUUUAAUAACAGACAUGAAUGCUCUUAUCAUUUUUACAGACUUCAGUAUUUGACAAUAAGGUUAUUUCUUGAUUGUUAUGUGCUACCCACAGAUUGAGUUCAUUGGACUAUGAAGAGUAACUGCUUUUUUUGUGUGUCUUGCUAGAGAUAAACUUUUAGUCCAUUUUCAUUUCUUGCUCAUGUCCUUUUUUUGUUUCCAAUUUCUUUUUAGGUUUAAGGAUUUUUUUUUUAGUUGUUUUCCUCUCAAAAUUUGUUUCAUGCUUUCAAAAUGAAAGCCCUCUUAGCACUUUUCCAUUCGUCUUUGUGAGACAUGAAGAGUGUGCAUUAAUUUGAAUUAAAAAAAAAAAAAGGAUUACUUAAGUAAGGAUAGAGGGUGCUUGUACAAAAAUGGCAUAUUUGUGUUCCACAGUUGCACAUAUAAGUUUUCCCACAUGAUUGAUUAGCUAUUGAGAAAGCUAUAAAAUGUUUGCUUUAAAAAUGAAUCUGAAUGAGGUGAUGUAUACCAACAACAAAAGACUGAGGGAGCAAGAACACAAGGGAAUGUGACUUCCUAAUUCUGCCCUGACUUUCUUGCAUUAUUCGAAAGACAAUUCAAACAUAUGGUAAUAGGGCGGAUGACUUGACAGAGAAAGCACAUAGAGCUUCAAACUCAUCUCCCUUUUGUUGUAAGUGUAUCUGUGUUGAAGUCAUGAAAUCAAAACGCUUUAAACUAACUGCUGUUAACAAUAUACCUUGAUGAUGUCCACAGUUGAAUGGUAUGCCCAGGCGAUACAGUGUGGAUCUCCUCGCCCAGAACUAGAUCUCUCAGGGAUUUUCCAGACGUACAUUUUUGUUUCACCUGUAUUAAACAAAUGCUGGUGAUUUUUUUUAAGUUUUGUUUUCUGCCGAUCUCUAAGAGGUUGUGCUGAAAAAGAUGCUAUUUUCAUUUACAGCUUAUUUUUGUCUUGAACUUCCUCUUCCCAUGUACUGCACUGUCUGGCGUCUUAUUAUUUCCCUUCUGCGGAUUCCUGACUUUCCCUGCCAGUGUUCCUUUGUGUGACUGCACUGUCCAGUUUACCAUGUUUAAUAAAACUAAUUGUAUCUUUUGUAAAGAUCACAGAAUAACUUUUGAAAGAACAGAUAACAUAAGCCAUACUCUCCCUAUAUAGCCAAAUCUGUUUUGCUUACAUGAAAGGUGCAGCAAAACUUUGUCAAAAAACUACUGAUUUGUCCAGGGCUAGCAUAUGUAGCAAUAAUUAGCAGGGAUAUUUUAAGUGCAGAAAUAUCAAUAACAAGCAGCUUCAUAAAAAAUCUAAGAAGCUGAGGUUAAAAAUAUCUUUCAUGCUAUUCUAACUUGAAAGCUUGCUAAAUCUUACUAUAAGGCCUGAAGUUACCUGUGAGAAUUAAGCAAGUGGAUGUUUGAUACCUGGGUUAGUUACGGCAACAGCAGAACUGUCUGUUUUCACUCCAUGGGCAUGUAUAGAAUAAGGUCGUGAUGCCAAGUUCUUAAAAACUACUAUAAUUUUAUCUCCAAUAUUUGACAUAAGCAAUGGCCCUAUUGGAUUGAAAAGAAAGAUUAAGUUGGUUUUACAACUGAUCAGAGCUGAAAGAGUUUAUUGUGUUCAGAGAUACAAUAACAUUGGGAUAUAAUUAAACUGAAAACUAGACAUGGACAAUAUGCAUUCACUAUGCUAUACAAACUUUAGUAGCUGAAGUUAGGCAUCUAAACAGAGUCCUAAUUUUCAAAAGUUCGGAGUAUCUGCUGUGUAUUUUUGGUCAGCUUAGAUGUGGCUGCAUAAUUUUAUGCCAACUUUGGAAACAGUGACCUGUGACCAGGCACAAAACCAGAAGUUUUCUCUUGUAAAGCAAGCACGGUAAUAUAUAAUACACAGUGAUAUGUAAGUAGCAAUUACAUGUAGGUUUAGGCACUUAGUGUGGGUAGAGCUAGGCUUGGUAUUACUAAAAUAACAUCUGUUUUGUUUCACUGCAUUUUUCCCAGCUCUGAAACUGAACUUCAUGAUGACUUACCUUGAAUUCCCAGAUGCUGCUGCUCCUCAGCUCUUUUUUUGGGAGUGCUGAAUGUCUGAUCGGUGUAUUCACGAUAUACAACCUUUCUGUAUUUUGAACCAAUAAAUUUGUCUUCUUUAUUUAAAAA